UACGGGGGGGGCAAGCGUUGUCCGGAAUUAUUGGGCGUAAAGGGCUCGUAGGCGGUUUGUCGCGUCGGGAGUGAAAUCCACUGGCUUAACUGGUGGCUUGCUUUCGAUACGGGCAGACUGGAGGUAUGCAGGGGAGAACGGAAUUCCUGGUGUAGCGGUGAAAUGCGCAGAUAUCAGGAGGAACACCGGUGGCGAAAGCGGGUCUCUGGGCAGUAACUGACGCUGAGGAGCGAAAGCGUGGGGAGCGAACAGG
rnacentral:rRNA from 1 species